rnacentral:lncRNA from 1 species
GUAUAAUAUAAAAGCUGUAACUCAGGAAUCAUUUGUGCCAGGCAGUCUCUGCGAUGAUUCCCAGUCAUCUUCAACUCUUGGUAUGCAAUCUUUAUGUAAUUCCUUUGCUUAGAAAAUAGGCUGUGCCUACAGAUUUUUUUCUAACAGAUGAUGACAAAAGGUAGGUUGUGACUUCUAAGACUAGGUUACAAAAUAGUCAUGUUCAUGCUCUGUAUUUCUCUCACUUUUUUGUGUCAGUGAAGCCUGCUACAUGUCCUAAGCUGUUUAAAGAGAAGCCUAUGUUGGAAGGAACUGAUGCCUGCUCAGUAGCUCGUUCAUACUCAAAGCUUGUGAAUAAGCAUAAAUUGAUGUUCUCAGUGCAGUCCUAAAAUACUCACAGCCCCAUCCAGGGCCUUCAUUGCGAUCAUAUAACAGAAUCCAACUCAGAAGUCUUCCCCAAAAGGCCAGACCGAGGUUCCUAACCUACAGAAAUUGGACAAGAAAAGGGGCCUUAUUAAAUGCCACUGGACCUUCCUCAAAGAGUUCCAUAGCCGGUCAAGGCCCAGCCACUGGAGAGGAACUCGGAAGUCACCGAGAAGCUGCAACUUGAGCGGCACCCCGCAAAGGUUGCUCCUAACAUUAUUCCCAGGGAUGGAAUAUACAUCCUUCAAACUACAAGGAACUCAAUUAUGCCCUGUACUUUUUGCUUUUCCAAGUGUGAGAUCAAGGUAAAUGUCAAUGAAUAUGGAUAUAGAUUUAGAUAUAGAUGAUUACAUGGAAGAAACAUAUUAAAUGUCA